UACAUGUGGGGCAAGCGUUGUUCGGAAUUACUGGGCAUAAAGGGUGCGUAGGCGGUUUGUUAAGUCAGGGGUGAAAGUUUUCGGCCCAACCGGAAAAUUGCCUUUGAUACUGGCGAACUUGAGUGCGUGAGGGGUAACCGGAACGAGCAGUGUAGCGGUGAAAUGCGUAGAUAUUGCUCGGAAGGCCAACGGCGAAGGCAGGUUACUGGUACGCAACUGACGCUGAGGCACGAAAGCGUGGGGAGCGAACAGG
rnacentral:rRNA from 1 species